UGCCAGCCGCCGCGGUAAUACAGAGGGUGCAAACGUUGUUCGGAAUCACUGGGCAUAAAGCGCACGUAGGCGGCUAUGCAAGUGUGGAGUGAAAGCCCACGGCUCACCCGUGGAAUUGCUUUGCAAACUGUAUGGCUCGAGGAUGGUAGGGGAGAGCGGAACUCUUGGUGGAGCGGUGAAAUGCGUAGAUAUCAAGAGGAACACCGGUGGCGAAGGCGGCUCUCUGGUCCAUUUCUGACGCUGAGGUGCGAAAGCUAGGGUAGCGAACGGGAUUAGAUA
rnacentral:rRNA from 1 species